ensembl:lncRNA
AUUGACUGCCAUUUGUAUAACGACAGUUUUACUACAAAUAGGCUACCACAUUAAACUAUGGAGUGUACCAUGGUUAAUUUAUGAUUACCAUGUGAGUACAAUAAUCAUGUUUUUUUGGUUUUAUUUGUAGCCUACCAUGGUUAAUGUCGUAAUUAAGGGAGCAAGUACUGUCAUGUUUUUUCGGGGUGUUUUAGUUAAAAAUUAAUCCUCCAGUCAUUUUAAAUCUGUAGGCUAGUUUAAAUUGAUCCGAACUGAAUGAAUCUAAACGAGUCUUUUGAACAGAAUCGCAAAAUUUGAGUGAGUUAAUGAAAUAAAAUCCACACUAUUCGCGGUAAUGCUGUAUCUCGGGGUUUGGUAAUAGAGGUAAUGAACAGUAAUAUAUCAAGCACUGACAUUCCAGGCCUCGCAUUUAGAGCUGAUUCACACGAGACUCGCAAUUCUUGAUGCCCGUGAAUCGAAUCUUUUUGGAAUCGACUCACUGUCCUUAUCCCUCCCGCCGUAGCUGUUGUUUGAAUUUGCGCUGGCGUGCUGACAGGAGAGCUUGUGUUCUGAGGGGCUACUGGCUGACAGCGUCCGGUAAUUUCUGAGAGAUUAAACUCAGAUGAAGGUAAGUGUGAAUAUAUAAAACCAUUUUGAAAAAAAAACAUGUUUACAAGAACAUAACAUUAAAAGUUGUUUGAAUUUGUAAUAUUUUUAAUCUGUAUUUUUAGCAUAACUUUGUUUGAGCUGUUUAUUCCCGCUUCAAGUGCUUUGCUGUUGCGCGCGCUGAUUUUCUGAGAGAUUUACAUCUGACGAAGGUUAGUAUAAAUACAUAAAACCUUUUAAAUAACAUGUUUAUCCGAACAUAACAUUACAAAUUCUACAAUGUUGUAUAAUUUCUUUCAAACUUUAACCCAGUGUUGUUUUGAGCCAUUUGUUCCCACUUCAGCGGCCUUCAUCAGAAGUAAAGUCUCCAAACACUGCAGCUGACUUCUGAUUCACUAUAUAUCACCGCAUUUCUCACCUCCAUUCCCAGACGACAGCAGGCCAAAUAUGCUUAUUCUCUCUAUUAUAUAUACACGUGACCUUGUGAAUUGCUGUAUAGUUCAGCUAACAAAAUAGCUGCCUGUUUUCAUUACAUUUGUGUUAUAAUGUUACGUUUCAUCAUACUAACUUGUGUUUAAACAAUGAAAACUGUAAAAUGUAUUUAGAGAUGUGUAUUAAUGUAAUGUAUUAAGUGUUUUAUUAUAUUUUUACAGGAUCCUCUGUUCCCAAACCCAACAAUUCAUCUGAAGGAUGAAGGAAAAUAUGAACCCUUUGAACCACUGGUGACAGUUUCCACAUGAUAAAUAGAAAGGACAUGGCAGAGGAUGAUGGGUUUGAAUGGCCGCUUUUCUUCAGAAAAAUCUUCCAGAUCCUUCACUUUCUCAGGUUUUCCAGCAUCUUUUGCAUAUUUGAACCCUUUCUAGCAAUGAAUGUAUGAUUUCAGAUCCAUUUUUUUUUACACUGAGGACAGUUGAGGGACUCAUACACAACUAUUUCAAAAGGUAAACGUAUUUAUUGAUUUUCAAGAAAGUAACAAUUUAUUAAGAGAGACAGGGUGUGAACUACUUGAAUUGGAUGAUCAGGGAAAAGUUUUUUUUUUUUUGAAAAUAAGCAUAAAAAAGGUAUUUUAUAUAGCUUCUGAAGGACAGUACUAAAUGAACAGAUAUGAUCUUUAAACAAAACAAGAAAAAUUUACUCAUCAUCCUGUUCAAAAUGUACACCCCAACUCUUAAUCGCAGGGAU